rnacentral:misc_RNA from 1 species
GAUGAAGAACGUAGCGAAAUGCGAUAAGUAAUGUGAAUUGCAGAAUUCAGUGAAUCAUCGAAUCUUUGAACGCACAUUGCGCCCGCCAGUAUUCUGGCGGGCAUGCCUGUUCGAGUGUCAUUACAACCCUCAGGCCCCCGGGCCUGGCGUUGGGGAUCGGCAGAAGCCCCCUGUGGGCACACGCCGUCCCUCAAAUACAGUGGCGGUCCCGCCGCAGCUUCCAUUGCGUAGUAGCUAACACCUCGCAACUGGAGAGCGGCGCGGCCAUGCCGUAAAACACCCAACUUCUGAAUGUUGACCUCGAAUCAGGUAGGAAUACCCGCUGAACUUAAGCAUAUCAAUAAGCGGAGGA